rnacentral:lncRNA from 1 species
CGGAUGAAUAAGAACCAAAACACUAGAACGAUCGCAGCUCUAUCGGAUCGGAUGGGACCGUGUGGUAUCGCUCGUAACUAGCUGGCCUGCAUCUAAUUUUUAACAGAUUCCACGGGAAAGGUGGAGAGCCCGGAACCCAAGACGCCCCGGCCAUGCACCUCCCGUUCUUCACCCUCCACACAAAGGUGGAGGGGGACGGCGUUCGCAGACGCAAUUACAGCCAGGUCAAUCUCCCAGCAGUCCUAUAUAUAUAUAUAUAUAUAUAUAUAUAUAUAUAUAUAUAUAUAUAUAUAUAUAUAUAGGUGUAUACAUAGAUAUGACCAUUAUACUAUACAUUUUAAAUAAUAAAAAAAUACAUUAUCCCUGUUCCUCAGCAGUGGCAUAGAUAUUUUCUCUCAAUGUCUCUCUCCCUGUCUCUCUCUGACUCUCGCCCUCUCUCUCUCUCCCCCUCUCCCUCAUCCCUGCCUGCAUGUUUUGCAUGCAGCCUGACAGGCGGUGAUGAGGUGGUCAUGUGACGUUUUAAUACCCUGGGUAUUUCCACUGGGCAUGCUCUCUUGCAUCCCUUUCUCCCUCGUACCUCCUCCCUUCUUCACCCCUCCUUCUGUCACUCCCCCCUCUCUCUCUCCCUCUCUCUCUGUCUGAUAGCCAUUCCUUCCUGUUAUUGUCCUGCAUCCCCCGAACACCAAGGUGCUCUCUCCUUCCCCUCCCUCGUUCUCCAGGUCUCUCGCCCGUCCGCUGUGGAUUGGUUUGGUGUGUUUUGCAUGUGCCAGGAGGUUGAAGAGUAAGCUCCUACAGAGUGGAGCUCCCAAUGGCGCCAGCAUGGCUGAGGAUGACGCUGUGACUGCCAAAAGCCUGUCUGUGUUGGGUGGGAUGUACGGCACCGCUCCGUAGUCCACCACCUGCCCGGAGACCCAGUGAACCCCUCAGCAGGCGUCAGGGAGGAGGCGGUCACCAGGUGCGCUGUCAGAAUGAACCCAGCGGAUAUGCAGUGAACCACAUCCAGUGGGAGGAGCCUAAACAAAUACACACAUAUCUGCAGAGCUGGGAGCUGGAGAUGAAUGGGAAGGUUGCAGGGAGAGCGGCCGGCGCCACCAGUAACGUCAAUGAUUCUAACUCCAACCAGACCAACAGGGGGUCCGACAUGGCCCCGGAAGCACAGCCGAACGCAAGGGUGAGUGGUGGACGGUAGAUUAAAUAGAAGUUUAUAGAAGAUGUUGAACAGGUGGAUUAUGGUUUAGGUUGAGGACUUGCAUACCACAGGGGUUGGGUUAGCGGUUGUCUGUCGGCUCCAGUGCGGGCUCCUUGUUUCCUCGGGUCUCGGCAGGCGCGUGAUUUGCGGGGGGGUUAGGGGGGUCAUGACCCCCCUAAUCUGAUUGUUAAUCAGAUUAACAAAAAUAAGAAAUAUUCUGAAUGAAUAACUUGUUUGUUUUCGUCAUUAAUUUAAUUACCCAGCAAGAUAGUAUCAUAUUUUAAUCAUCUGUAAUGUAACCCCCCCCCCCCUCCCCGCACGCCCACCGACUACUUGGUAUUACCCCACCCGUUUUCUCUACCAAAACGUACUAUUUCACUGUGUGUCACUGUGAUGAAUAGUUGGAGAAAGACAGGUUCAUGCUAACUGAAUGUGGAGAUGAAAAGUACACUGAAAGGCAGCCAGACAACAAUUUUUCAUUGUUGGUCGUCGUCACCAGCCAAAAGGAGUAAACAUCCUGACGAAAAGGAGUUAAAUACCCCUAUUGUUAUACCAUGGUCUGGGGGAAUGCUCAAUUCUGAUUGGCUGCAGGGUGUGCAUUAACCCGGAUAAUGCCCUUCGAGGUCCAUUAGUUCUGUCACUCAAUCCAUGUUUAUUUGAAUGGGAAAAAAUGUUACAAAUCGACUUUGACCCUCGGGAACGAAUAAUCAGAUAUUCUGACCCAUCCCUAGUAGAUAACUGAAUAUACUAGACAAAUGGGAACAUGUAGAUAGUGUACAUAGCUGAUAGUUGAGGGUUGUACCUGGGUCAAUGUGAGGUGUGCACCUGCCUGGGUGAGGGUUUAGAUGUUUUCCUGGGUCAAUGUGAGGUAUGUACUAUAGUCUGCUAGCAUUACUAUAGUUGCUGGCAGAAUAGACGUCAGUAUAGCAUCCUGUUUCUUUUAGUCAAAUACUUGGUAUGUGUGUUAAGUUGUAGCCUAAUAUAUUUACAGAUAGGCCUUCUUUUGUAUUUACAUGCUUUUGUUUAGAUUUUGUUAGUUUGAACUGGUGAUGCCCACCAAUAUGUGAAAUCAGUUUGCCAUGUUCAGAACAGAGGUGCAAGCUGCCCUCCAGUGUGCCAACCUGUAUUGUGUGAUGCAUUGAUAGUUCAAUUGUGCAUAAUACAUUUGCUGUAUGUAGGUGCCAAGACAGUGAUGCAAGUGAUUCAUCUUUAAGUUCUUGCGAUUUCUUUCAUUAGAUAGUGAACACACACACAAAAUCAAUUAAGUGGAAGCUGCCACUGCUGGCUAGUGCUUAAACACUUAAUUUAACUACUGUGUCAUUAUGGCAUAUAUAUUCAAAAAGUAGCCAAAAUCAGUAAAAUUAUCGCAAUGUAUUUCUAAUACAAGAACAGAUAAUUGGCAUCUUAC